rnacentral:rRNA from 1 species
CCUACGGGUGGCAGCAGUGGGGAAUAUUGGACAAUGGGCGAAAGCCUGAUCCAGCCAUGCCGCGUGUGUGAAGAAGGCCUUCGGGUUGUAAAGCACUUUCAGUGGGGAAGAAAGCCUUGGGGCUAAUACCCUCGAGGAAGGACAUCACCCACAGAAGAAGCACCGGCUAACUCCGUGCCAGCAGCCGCGGUAAUACGGAGGGUGCGAGCGUUAAUCGGAAUUACUGGGCGUAAUGCGCGCGUAGGCGGUCUGAUAAGCCGGUUGUGAAAGCCCCGGGCUCAACCUGGGAACGGCAUCCGGAACUGUCAGGCUAGAGUGCAGGAGAGGAAGGUAGAAUUCCCGGUGUAGCGGUGAAAUGCGUAGAGAUCGGGAGGAAUACCAGUGGCGAAGGCGGCCUUCUGGACUGACACUGACGCUGAGGUGCGAAAGCGUGGGUAGCAAACAGGAUUAGAUACCCUAGUAGUC